rnacentral:rRNA from 1 species
GUAGGAUCCGAGCGUUGUCCGGAUUUACUGGGUGUAAAGGGUGCGCAGGCGGACUGGUAAGUCAGAGGUGAAAUCUCGUCGCUUAACGACGAAACUGCCUUUGAUACUAUCAGUCUUGAAUCCGGUAGAGAUCUGUGGAAUUCCGAGUGUAGCAGUGAAAUGUGUAGAUAUUCGGAAGAACACCAGUGGCGAAGGCAGCAGAUUGGGCCGGUAUUGACGCUCAGGCACGAAAGCAUGGGGAUCAAACAGGAUUAGAGACCCUGGUAGUCCAUGCCCUAAACGAUGUUCACUUGAUGUCUGCCCUCAGGGUAGGUGUCGAAGCUAACGCGAUAAGUGAACCACCUGGGGAGUACGCUCGCAAGGGUG